rnacentral:rRNA from 1 species
AGCGAACGCUGGCGGCAGGCCUAACACAUGCAAGUCGAACGAACCUUUCGGGGUUAGUGGCGGACGGGUGAGUAACACGUGGGAACGUGCCUUUAGGUUCGGAAUAACUCAGGGAAACUUGUGCUAAUACCGAAUGUGCCCUUCGGGGGAAAGAUUAAUCGCCUUUAGAGCGGCCCGCGUCUGAUUAGCUAGUUGGUUGAGGUAAUGGCUCACCAAGGCGACGAUCAGUAGCUGGUCUGAGAGGAUGAUCAGCCACAUUGGGACUGAGACACGGCCCAAACUCCUACGGGAGGCAGCAGUGGGGAAUCUUGCGCAAUGGGCGAAAGCGUGACGCAGCCAUGCCGCGUGAAUGAUGAAGGUCUUAGGAUUGUAAAAUUCUUUCGCCGGGGACGAUAAUGACGGUACCCGGAGAAGAAGCCCCGGCUAACUUCGUG